CAGGCUGACGCGGCUGUCGGGGCGGGUGCUUGGUAGACGUUCUCUUCGGUUCUGCUGCCAUCGGACAGCCCGGGCCCCUUGAGGCUGUGAGGGGUCCUGGCCGACGGCCCGAGACCCUGAGCCCCGAAGACCUCAGGAUGAGAGCAGAGGAAAGGGUCUUCUGACUCCAAAGAAAAGAGGCAUUGUUCUUCCAGUCCUUCAGGAUGUUCCCAAGUAUCUGGAGACUUCUGCUGGUUUACAGUUCAGGACUUAAAGAUGCCUUUUACUGCAUACCCCUGAGUCCUGAGUCCCAGGACCUGUUUGCCUUUGAAUGGGCCGAUCCAGAGACUAAUGUAAAACAACACUGUGGUUGGAUGAUACUUCCGCAAGGAUUUCAAAAUGCCCCCACCAUCUUCGGGGAAGCCUUAGCCAAGGACUUAAGGAAUCUCCAGGCAAUGCUCUUCUUGGACAACAGGAAACAGAAGAACUGAAACCUUUGGUGGGCAUGGAGGCCUACGGCGGGCAGUUCUACUCAAGAGUGUUCCUGUGACCCCCUAACUGAUCUUUUCAGAAAAAGCAACAAAAACUGAAGGAACUCGUGGGUCUCCAUGUACCAGGCUGAGUGGGUUUCAACUCCCUUUCUGAACCCGACUUCGACUGACCAAUACAAACAUCUCCAAACCAGGAUGAGAAGAAGACGGCAUUUGUUGUAGACAGCUGUCCCAAGACUCCAGACCAGGCCUGUGUUCUUAACCUUAUAAAUCCUCAUUUAAAUCUGUGUAACGUUUAAACCCUGUAUAAUUGUAUAACAGAUAAUUUCUAGAUUGCCUUACCUUUUUACCUCCCAGUACCUUACUCCUCCGGUUCUGUAAGAUAGCUUAGAACCUGAUUACAAAACUCUUUUAAUUAAUCACAAAAAUGCCAUUUAAGAUUUUCCUGAUGCUAUGUUUGUUUUUGCAGUUCACAUCUGAAUGGGCCUCUAAUGGCAAUGGUUUUUUUUUACAAUGGGCACAUUCCUUUGCCACACAUAAAAAUCAGUCCAGGGGCCGGCCUGGUGGUGCAGCAGUUAAGUUCCCAUGUUCCACUUCGGCAUCCCGGGGUUCACCGGUUUGGAUCCAGGUGCGCACAUGGUAUGGCUUGGCAAGCCGUGCUGUGGUAGG